UACGUAGGGUGCGAGCGUUGUUCGGAAUUACUGGGCGUAAAGGGCGCGUAGGCGGACAGUUUAGUCAGAGGUGAAAGCCCAGGGCUCAACCUUGGAAUAGCCUUUGAUACUGGCUGUCUUGAGUUCGGGAGAGGUGAGUGGAAUGCCGAGUGUAGAGGUGAAAUUCGUAGAUAUUCGGCGGAACACCAGUGGCGAAGGCGACUCACUGGCCCGAUACUGACGCUGAGGCACGAAAGCGUGGGGAGCAAACAGG
rnacentral:rRNA from 1 species